rnacentral:rRNA from 1 species
AUGAAUAUAUCUAGAUAUAUUUUAGUUUUAGAUACAUUCAUUUUUAUUUAUUUAUUUGACAAGUAUUUUCGAACGGAGAGAGUAUUAAUAGAAAAACGGGGGAAACUCUCCAACGUCGUGCGCUGUCCAAAAAAGAGGCAACUGAUACAGAACCAUACCGGCCGAGACAGGCAGCGUACUGUGGAACAGAGGAAAACCAACCGGACCCUGCCCGGCUCGGCUGCCCUCCCCCUCGUCACCCCCUCCAUUUCCGACUCCCCACGAUCCCCGCACCCCGACCCCGAUCCGCGCCAACUCACCGCCGGGAUCCGGCGAGCCCCUCUCGCCCGGCCGCGGCUACCGCCCCACAUGUCCGUCGGCAGGACGAUCUAG